rnacentral:lncRNA from 1 species
UGAACACAAAGUAAAUUGUGCAAUUAGGAAAACACUGAACAUGAUUUUCUUGAAAAAGGUCACAGGCUCCUUUAAUUUGGUUAAUAACAGCAAUCAAUGAACUUACAGAAAACAGAAGUAAAUCUCCGAAAUCUUUGAAAUAAAGGUAGAAUAGAAUGUAGGAUUGGAGCUUUGUUUUAGACUAAAAUGCAAAACAAAGUUAAAAGGGCAUUUUUCAACAUCCAACAUUUUUCAAGAUCCAAGCUAAAGUACAAAGGACAAAACAAUUGACAUGAUUUGGACAUAUGUGAAACUGAACAUAACUGGCUCAACUUAUUUUAUCUUUUUGAAAAAAAUUCAACCUUUAAAAGAAGUUGUUAUAUGCUUAUUUAAGUUAAGAAAAUGAACUGAUGCAAUAAUCUCAUAGUCCUACAUCUCCCACUUUCAAAACUUCACAUUAACUUAGGGAAAAAGCUAGGUAAAAUUAUGCCUAAAACUCAACAGAUAUAUAGUAACCAGUAACGAGAGACGGCGUGCGGCGGUAUGAGCUCCUCGCUUAAGAAAAGAAAGAUAGACGUUCGAGAACAACACCCACAUCUUGGCGCGCACAUGGCAUCACAGAAUCCCAAGAAUCAUUUCACUCCAAGCACAUUCAAGCAGUGCACAACCCCAAUACCCAACAUGUAAGUAGAGCCUCCCCCAAAUAUACAAGAGACCAGGCAGUUCAUACUCAUGGUAUAAUAAUUACUAUUCGCUUAUAUAUCAAUCUAAUCUAUAUGCAGCUGCAUGGUUUCUUGCCUUAAAUUUUAGAUUACCUCAUCUUAGCAGCUUGACUGAAACUUGUCUCUUUCC